rnacentral:rRNA from 1 species
CGUGGAGACAGGUGGUGCAUGGCUGUCGUCAGCUCGUGUCGUGAGAUGUUGGGUUAAGUCCCGCAACGAGCGCAACCCUCACCUCUUGUUGCCAUCAGGUCAUGCUGGGCACUCUAGAGGAACUGCCCUGGUCAACGGGGAGGAAGGCGGGGAUGACGUCAAGUCAUCAUGCCCCUUACGCCCUGGGCGACACACGUGCUACAAUGGCUGGUACAAAGGGAUGCAAGACCGCGAGGUGGAGCUAAUCCCAAAAAACCGGUCUAAGUUCAGAUUGCAGUCUGCAACUCGACUGCAUGAAGGAGGAAUCGCUAGUAAUCGCGCAUCAGCACGGCGCGGUGAAUACGUUCCCGGGCCUUGUACACACCGCCCGUCACACCACGAAAGCCGGCUGUACUCGAAGUCGCUGAG